rnacentral:rRNA from 1 species
AUUGAACGCUAGCGGGCUGCUUUACACAUGCAAGUCGAACGAGUGGCGGACGGGUGAGUAAUUUAUCGGAAACUGCCCAGUAGAUGGGGAUAACUACUGGAAAGAGUGGCUAAUACCGCAUACUAUCGGAGAUGCCCAUAUGGGAUUAGCUAGUUGGUGGGGUAAAGGCUCACCCAGGCCACGAUCCGUAGCUGGUCUGGGAGGAGGACCAGCCACACGGGGACUGAGACACGGACCAGACUCCUACGGGAGGCAGCAGUGGGGAAUAUUGCACAAUGGGCGCAACCCUGAUCCAGCCAUGCCGCGUGUAUGAAGAAGGCCUUCGGGUUGUAAAGUACUGUCAGCGGGGAGGCGUUAUCUGCAGAAUAAGCACCGGCUAACUCCGUGCCAGCAGCCGCGGUAAUUC